GACGAACGCUGGCGGCGUGCUUAAUACAUGCAAGUCGAACGGACAGACCCUGCUUUUGUGGGGUGCUCGAGUGGCGAACGGGUGAGUAAAACGUGAGUAACCUGCCCUUGACUUUGGGAGAACUUCAGGAAACUGGGGCUAAUACAGGAUAGGAGCUCCUGCUCCAUGGGGGGGGUUGGAAAGAGUCGGCGGUUGGGGAUGGACUCGCGGCUUAUCAGCUUGUUUGGGGGGUAGGUGCUUACCAAGGCUGUGAAGGGUAGCCGGCCUGAGAGGGUGGACAGGCACAAUGGGACUGAGAGACGGACCAGACGGCUACGGGAGGCAGCAGUGGGGAAUCUGGCACAAUGGCGGGAAGCCUGAUGUAGCGACGUUGCGUGCGGAAAGCUCUCUUUCGGGGUAUAAACCGCUGUCGCCGGAAACGAAGCGGUAUUGACGGUACCGGGUAAAGAAGCACCGGCUAACUACGUG
rnacentral:rRNA from 1 species